UUUUCACGUACAAAGUGUUUUUUCUAAACCUAGGUCUAUUCUUUUAUAUCUCUCCUUAAUAACUUAUCUUAUUUCACUUUCUCCCCCAAAACUAUCUAAAAUAUCAAAACAGCCCUCAACUAAAUAUUUUUCAAAUCUUUAUUUUAUUUAACAAUAAAAUAAAUUCUCUAAUCUUAUCAAAUCCUCCAAAACUCAUAACUUAUCACGUCAUCAAUCAAAUCAUCAAAAUCACCACAAAUCAUCAAAACAUAUCAAAAUCAUGCAUAUAUUAUAUAAUUAUAAUAUAAUUGCCUAAACUCGAUUAAAUAACGAUUAAACGAAAGUGGGCGUUACAACUCUCCCCCACUUAAAAGAUUUUCGUCCUCGAAAAUUUACC
rnacentral:lncRNA from 1 species